rnacentral:rRNA from 1 species
AUUGAACGCUGGCGGCAGGCCUAACACAUGCAAGUCGAGCGGAGCGGCGGACGGGCGAGUAAUGACUAGGAAUGGGCCUGGCCGUGAGGGAGGACGUCCGGCUACGGGCGCUAAUACCGCCCAAUCUCUGACGAGUCUAGGCCGGAUUAGCUAGUUGGUGGGGUAAAGGCCGACCAAGGCGACGAUCCGUACCUGGUCUGAGAGGAUGAUCAGUCACACUGGAACUGAGACACGUUCCAGACUCCUACGGGAGGCAGCAGUGGGGAAUAUUGGACAAUGGGCGAAAGCCUUAUCCAGCCAUGCCGCGUGUUUGAAGAAGGUCUUCGGAUUGUAAAGCACUUUAAGUUGGGAGGCGUUACCAACAGAAUAAGCACCGGCUAACUUCGUGCCAGCAGCCGCGGUAAUAC